rnacentral:rRNA from 1 species
CCGUAGAGAUACGGUCCCCCUUGUGGUCGGUGUACAGGUGGUGCAUGGCUGUCGUCAGCUCGUGUCGUGAGAUGUUGGUUAAGUCCCGCAACGAGCGCAACCCUUGUCUUAUGUUGCCAGCACGUGAUGUGGGGACUCGUAAGAGACUGCCGGGGUCAACUCGGAGGAAGGUGGGGACGACGUCAAGUCAUCAUGCCCCUUAUGUCCAGGGCUUCACACAUGCUACAAUGGCCAGUACAGAGGGCUGCGAGACCGUGAGGUGGAGCGAAUCCCUUAAAGCUGGUCUCAGUUCGGAUCGGGGUCUGCAACUCGACCCCGUGAAGUCGGAGUCGCUAGUAAUCGCAGAUCAGCAACGCUGCGGUGAAUACGUUCCCGGGCCUU